AGUGAACGCUGGCGGUAGGCCUAACACAUGCAAGUCGAACGGCAGCACAGUAAGAGCUUGCUCUUACGGGUGGCGAGUGGCGGACGGGUGAGGAAUACAUCGGAAUCUACUUUUUCGUGGGGGUUAACGUAGGGAAACUUACGCUAAUACCGCAUACGACCUACGGGUGAAAGCAGGGGAUCUUCGGACUUUGCGCGAUUGAAUGAGCCGAUGUCGGAUUAGCUAGUUGGCGGGGUAAAGGCCCACCAAGGCGACGGUCCGUAGCUGGUCUGAGAGGAUGAUCAGCCACCCUGGAACUGAGACACGGUCCAGACUACUACUGGAGGCAGCUGUGGGGAAUAUUGGACCAUGGACGCCAGCCUGAUCCAGCCAUACCGCGUAGGUGAAGAAGGCCUUCGGGUUGUAAAUCCCUUUUGUUGGGAAAGAAAAGCAGCAGGUUAAUACCCCGCUGUUCUGACGGUACCCAAAGAAUAAGCACCGGCUAACUUCGUG
rnacentral:rRNA from 1 species